AUUGCUGGCGACCGGCGCACGGGUGAGUAACACGUAUCCAACCUGCCGAUAACUCGGGGAUAGCCUUUCGAAAGAAAGAUUAAUACCCGAUGGCAUAGUUCUUCCGCAUGGUAGAACUAUUAAAGAAUUUCGGUCAUCGAUGGGGAUGCGUUCCAUUAGGUUGUUGGCGGGGUAACGGCCCACCAAGCCUUCGAUGGAUAGGGGUUCUGAGAGGAAGGUCCCCCACAUUGGAACUGAGACACGGUCCAA
rnacentral:rRNA from 1 species